AAAAAGAUAAGCUAAGUAAGCUCAUGGGCUCAUACCCCAUUUAUGAGGUUUAAACCCUCUCUUUUUA
rnacentral:tRNA from 1 species